AUAUCAAUAAGCGGAGGAAAAGAAACCAACAGGAUUGCCCUAGUAACGGCGAGUGAAGCGGCAACAGCUCAAAUUUGAAAUCUGGCCCUCGGGUCCGAGUUGUAAUUUGUAGAGGAUGCUUUUGGUGAGGUACCUUCCGAGUUCCCUGGAACGGGACGCCAUAGAGGGUGAGAGCCCCGUCUGGUUGGAUACCGAGCCUCUGUAAAGCUCCUUCGACGAGUCGAGUAGUUUGGGAAUGCUGCUCUAAAUGGGAGGUAUAUGUCUUCUAAAGCUAAAUACCGGCCAGAGACCGAUAGCGCACAAGUAGAGUGAUCGAAAGAUGAAAAGCACUUUGAAAAGAGAGUUAAAAAGUACGUGAAAUUGUUGAAAGGGAAGCGCUUAUGACCAGACUUGGGCUUGGUUGAUCAUCCUGGGUUCUCCCUGGUGCACUCUUCCAGUUCAGGCCAGCAUCAGUUCGCUGCGGGGGAUAAAAGUUUUGGGAAUGUGGCUCCCUCGGGAGUGUUAUAGCCCAUUUCAUAAUACCCUGCUCCGGACUGAGGUUCGCGCAUCUGCAAGGAUGCUGGCGUAAUGGUCAUCAGCGACCCGUCUUGAAACACGGACCAAGGAGUCGUCUUCGUAUGCGAGUGUUCGGGUGUUAAACCCCUACGCGUAAUGAAAGUGAACGCAGGUGAGAGCUUCGGCGCAUCAUCGACCGAUCCUGAUGUUCUCGGAUGGAUUUGAGUAAGAGCAUACGGGGCCGGACCCGAAAGAAGGUGAACUAUGCCUGUAUAGGGUGAAGCCAGAGGAAACUCUGGUGGAGGCUCGCAGCGGUUCUGACGUGCAAAUCGAUCGUCAAAUAUGGGCAUGGGGGCGAAAGACUAAUCGAACCUUCUAGUAGCUGGUUUCCGC
rnacentral:rRNA from 1 species